GAGAGUGAUUACGGAUAAGACGUAGUCAAUUCUUGCAAGCAUAUGAACUCGAUGUAUUGGAAAGUUCCAUCCAUAACAUACAACAGGAGGGCUAUACAGUUCUGCUGCUAAAAAAUUGCAUACACCAAGUCGUCGAAUACUAAGCGCUUCGCUAAACUCUAAGAAAGAACAGAAAACGUAGAGGUAACGGGCGAUUCUUGCAAGUAUAAACUCAAAGCAUUAGACCAUUUCAGUUGUGUUAUAAUCAGUUGUUGGAAAAUACACUAGAAUUGGUAAAGAGCACAGUUCCCUACAUCGAAUAUAAGGCACUCGCAAAGCUGAGAGUAAGGAAAGUAUAAAGAUACGG